AAUACGAGACUCUCCCCGUGGUCGUCCAACCCGUGGGGAUCAUUUCAGAGGACAAUUUCUUUUGCAUCUAUAAAUGAAUCUCCUUGGUGAGCCAGAUCAGCCCGUGCGGCUCCCAGUGGGCACUCUGUAUCCACUACAGGCACCACUAUGCUUUCGAGAAUGCAUGGAGUGACUUCCAGACCCACCGCACGGUCGUGGGCCUUGUCACCAUUACCGACUGCCUCUCGGCCAAGGCCUUCGAGAAGCUCCAUGUACAGAGGAGCUGUAUGGCACCACGCUUAAUGACUCUCAGCUCUUUGUCUUUGUGCUGCAUGGGGAGGUAGCCGAGCAGCCACGCACCAACGUGGCCUUCAAACUACGAGGACUGCCGGGUGGUGGAGAAGAGGAUCGAGGACUUCACUGAGUCACUGUUCAUCUUGCUCAAGUCCAAGUGGCUGGAUGGGACCCUGACAAGUCUGGGGAAAGGAUCCCCCUCCUCUGCACCUUGUUUGAGAAGGAAGACUUCAUGGGACUGGACACAGACAGCAGGGCCCUGUGAUCUACACGUCCGCACACCCUUCUGCUCCUUGGGGAUGAGGUGGCAGGUUUAGGUGCUUGGGCACUGCUGUGGGCACAGCUGCCAGCACCGGGCUACACCGAGGCUGGCUCCGUUCACCUCACAUGUCACCUCCGGCUGAGCCCCCAGGCGUUAGUCAAGGUCGUGGUCCCAAAGGAGCAAGCAAACACCCAGUUGGUCACCAUGCAGUGCUGCUACAGAGGGAGACCUGCCAAGACCUAAAGGAUAUUAUCAGAGAGGACUUCCUGGAAGAAAUGGGCUCUACAUUCAGUUGUGAAGACAGAAUCGUUUUGGUUACUGAGACCCUCGAAUUCCCAUAUGAAUUAUAACAGCAGCUAAUCAGUUUUUGCAGAGGAGCCCGCUGGGAUUGUGAUCAAGACCACGUAGAAUAUACGGAUCACUCUGGGGAGCAAUGCCAUUCCAAGAGCACUGUCUUCUGAUCCAGGAAUGUAUGUGGCGUGUCUGUCCAGGUGCCCUCACAUCCAGUGGCAUCCAUCCAGACACCAACACUGACACUGGCCAUGCUCAGAACUGCCUCAGCCCUGAAGACACAAGUGACAAAUAGAAGGGGGCCGCACCCUGUUACAGCAGGUGCUCUCACUUUGUGGGUCCUUAUGUAACUGCGUGGUGUUAAUCAGGAUCGCCCGUUCUACAUUGUGUGGCGCUGCUGCAGUGUCUCCUAGUUAUUUGUUUCUCUGUCCACGUGGGUCAAAUCAUGGUGCCCCUCUAAAACCUCCAAAAAAAAACAAAGUUGAUUCUCUAUUUUGCAACUUGCCAUCUCUACAUAAGUGCAGAAGAGUUAACAUCGUGAAAGAUCAGAGCCCGGAGAACAGGCUCUCCUGGAUAUUUCAGGCUAAAGGCAACUUUCUUUUACAAAAGGAUCUGAGGAGCAGGAGCAAGGAACGCAGGGAGAGAUCCAGGAAGACAUCUGACUGUGUUAAGAGAUGACAGUCACAGCCACACAGGGAGCAAGGACACUUGCAGCAAAGUAAAACGACUUCACAACUAUUGCAUCAGAGCUGCCUGUGUGAGAGAGCCUAAGCCUGUCUCAGAGUGCAGGGGACAAGCGGAAAGGAAUGUGUAAGAAUGCUGGUGACUGAGUUAGAAGCAUGCUUCAAAGCUGUCCGUGUCCUUGCCAUCCAGAAGCGGAGCCUGGGAGCUUCCGAAUUUCUCCAGAAUGCGGUUUACA